AAACUGUCAUGUGGGCAUGAACUGACGAGAUCCUUGAACCACUCCCAACAUUGGAAGAAUGUUUCAUCUUCCUUUUGGGCGAAGUUCGUAAUCGACUUCCUAAUGGU